CGAAUGGGGAAACCCACCACGUAAGUGGUAUCUCUUUACUGAAUAUAUAGGUUUAGAGAGGCGAACCUGGGGAACUGAAACAUCUAAGUACCCAGAGGAAAAGAAAUCAACCGAGAUUCCCUUAGUAGCGGCGAGCGAACGGGGACCAGCCCUUAAGCUGUUUAAGCCUUAAUAGAACGCUCUGGAAAGUGCGGCCAUAGUGGGUGAUAGCCCCGUAUAUGAAAAGUCUUUUACAGUGAAAUCGAGUAGGACGGGACACGUGUUAUCCUGUCUGAACAUGGGGGGACCAUCCUCCAAGGCUAAAUACUCC
rnacentral:rRNA from 1 species